rnacentral:rRNA from 1 species
AUGAAGAAGAUCAAGAGUGGAAAAGAGCUAGUGGAAGAAGUAAGGAAAAUUGAGAAGAAUAUCAAUGUCGGGUGCAGUAUCUCAUCCCUCCUUGAGCUGAGUGUUUCUGGGAUAUCCCUUGAGGUGUGUGAAGUUCCAUCACCGUCACAUCCAGCUGAGCAAGAUAGCAAGAGCGCAGAGGAAGAGAUACCUCAGAUUGAAGAUGAACUAGAAGACAAGGAACAAGAUGACCAAGAAAUCGACUACCCAAGUGAUCAAGUUGAAGACACAAUCUCUAUCUCUCCUGAAGAAUUACUUUCCUCGUGCUAG